rnacentral:pre_miRNA from 1 species
CUUGGCACUGGGGAAUCCUUUGUGUAGAUUGUAAAGGAUUUUACAUGGUUGUGUCACAGAAUUCCCCCGUACCGAGCGG